UCGAACGAGAAAGUGGAGCAAUCCAUGAGUAAAGUGGCGACCGGGUGAGUAACACGUGACUAACCUACCUCCGAGUGGGGAAUAACUCCGGGAAACCGGGGCUAAUACCGCAUAACAUCGCAAGAUCAAAGCAGCAAUGCGCUUGGAGAGGGGGUCGCGGCUGAUUAGCUCGUUGGCGGGGUAACGGCCCACCAAGGCGAAGAUCGGUAUCCGGCCUGAGAGGGCGCACGGACACACUGGAACUGAAACACGGUCCAGACUCCUACGGGAGGCAGCAGUGGGGAAUUUUGCGCAAUGGGGGAAACCCUGACGCAGCAACGCCGCGUGGAGGAUGAAGCCCUUUGGGGCGUAAACUCCUUUCGACUCGGACGAUAAUGACGGUACGAGUGGAAGAAGCACCGGCUAACUCUGUGCCAGCAGCCGCGGUAAUACAGAGGGUGCGAGCGUNGUUCGGA
rnacentral:rRNA from 1 species